CAAUGAAGCUCAUGUCCAGUCCAGUUCUAGACUAUUCCAUCAAAUGAAAAUUAUCUUGUGCCCUUCAUUAAAUGUAUGGAGACUCACUAAUUCCUCUAUCUUCACGUGAAGAGUGAUAUUUUUCAGGAAAAGAGCUUUUUGACUUUCAAGACGAAAGUUUCUCUUUUUUCUCCUCCACACGCUAUUUCCUCAAAAACUUACCAAAUCUUCUAAUUUCUGCUCUCUUUAUUCUCCCAUGGCAGACCACCCUCACAGUCAAACUAGCAGAACGACAACCUCAUUAUUUCAAAUUCAAAGCCAACCUAAAAUCCCGCUCAAAACUUUAAAACCUUAACCCUAGUUACAUCUAUAAAUACCAAGCUAUAGCAGCCAUUUGAAGAUAGAUUUUAGCCGCCGCCUCUUCCCCCUUUAAACUUCCUAAACACUCACUGUUUCAUACUAGUUAUCCUCUAAAAGACAAGCUUUAAAUCACGUUUUCUCCCUUCUCAGAUCUCUGUUGGCUUUCAACCGUUGAGGUGAUUUAUUUGACUUCAAUCGUGCCAUUUUAUUUGUGAGGGAGGUCGGAGUCCGCUGGAUCUAAGACCCCACGCCCUAGUUCACUGUACCCGCAAAAGAGUCUUUCAUGAAAGACUCUCACCGCUGCAUAAGUCCCUUGCGCCACUAGAUAUGGAAUCCGUGUCUUCUUUUUAGUCACUUCCCUCGUUCCCGCGAAACUCAUCCGAACAGAAAUUGCAAAGAGGGACGAGAGGAAGUCUGGAACACACAAUUAUUUCCUCAUUCAGUUCUCUCCCUCUCUUAAAAAACAUCCUAACAGGAGCAAGGAAAAGUGAGGAGAAGAAAAGAAUGACUCUUGCAUUUUUCAACUUGUUACAGGAUUUAUUAACUAUUUAUUCUCUGAUUGUGUUUGUGUUACACUUGAGAUUACUAGUCUUAGAACACCUAAUUUAGCGGGGAAGCGCAAUCGGUACAUUAUUUCAGCGGCUAUCGAGAAAGUAAUAUUUUCCGAAACUCUAUGUUAUGAACCCCAAAACGGUUUCAAAAUUGGCUAUGUAGUUUUUGAAAGCACAAACGUGAAAAAAUGAUUCUUUAUAGUCUUUUGUUCCA